CAGGAUUCAACAACUAGCAUGCUGAUUUGACCCACCUGCGGACUUCCAGCGAAGACCUCCGGGACCGGCGGCCAGACGGCGGCGCUUCCCGAUGCUGACGGCGGCGGCGGGCGUGGACGAGAGGACGGGCGGCGACAUCGGGACAAAGUUCAGCAGCUCGCUCCAAGUCAACAUGACAGACGGCGCUGUUAUCAAGUGGGAAGGCGGAACCAACUGCAUGGGAAACGAGACCUUGGGAAGAUGGCGGCGGCAAUGGCGGCGCUUAUCAAGCCAUCAGCUCUUUGUGGCAGCCUGAAAAGAAAAGGCAACCAGAGCAGGCGCCGCCGCCGCCGCAGCCACCGCCUGGAUCCCGAUAAAUAUAUUCACGUAGGUCAACGGGUCAAGAACACCCCGCAGGCUCAAACUAACGACUAAUAGAAACAUUUCAAGUUGGCCGGGCCGAGGAACGGAGCGGGCGUCAUGACAUCAGUCAGUCGUGUGACCCAGUCUGCCAGAUUUCAAGUCACCUUUGACUUUUUUUUUUUUUUUCUUACCUGUGAGCCGACGAAGGCGAAGGGGCCCGGGCGGAGUCCAAGAGUCUGGGCAGCAGCAGCGAAGAGGGCAUGCACAGCCACGUCUCCAGGUCCAACAACUUGGAGCAGCUCAGCAUCUCCAGAACGCUGCUCGACAGACGACAAGUUUGGUCGAGCCACGCCACGGAAAAGCGCCCGCGACACCAACGUACCUCUCCUCUCCCACCGCCUGGACGUCGUCAUCAUCUUUGUCGUCGGCCGCUCGGAAGACGCAGGAGAUGCGGGAGUCUCGCGAAGACGACAGCGGGCGGGUGUUCUCAGAAUCCACCGACAUCUUGGCCCAUAUCUGCACGCAGAAGAAGAGCACCGGGGAGCCGGCGCUGGGUCGGUCGCUUCUUAGCAUGACGCUUCAGGAAGAAACUAAUUUGAUCAA